rnacentral:tRNA from 1 species
GGGGAUUUAGCUCAGCGGCAUAAGCGCCUGCCUUGCAAGCAGGGGUCGUCAAUCCCUG